rnacentral:rRNA from 1 species
AGAGUUUGAUCAUGGCUCAGAACGAACGCUGGCGGCGCGUUUUAAGCAUGCAAGUCGAACGAGAACCCCUCACCAUUUUUCCGCAGCGGGAGCUGCAAGUUGCGGAACGAGUGACUGACAGGAGCGGCAAGAUGUUCCUGGGAAAAAUGGUGAGGGGGGAAAGUGGCGCACGGGUGAGUAACGCGUAGGUGAUCUACCCUUGGGUUGGGGAUAGCUCAUGGAAACAUGAGAUAAUACCGGAUACGAUCCUUGCCGCGAGGCAGGGAGGAAAGCUCCUUUACGGGGGCGCCCGAGGAUGAGCCUGCGUUUCAUUAGCUAGUUGGUAGGGUAACGGCCUACCAAGGCGACGAUGGAUAGCCGGCCUGAGAGGGUGAACGGCCACACUGGGACUGAGACACGGCCCAGGCUCCUACGGGAGGCAGCAGCUAAGAAUCUUCUGCAAUGGGCGAAAGCCUGACAGAGCGACGCCGCGUGAACGAUGAAGGCCGCAAGGUUGUAAAGUUCUUUUCUUUGUGAGGAAUAAGGGUGAGAGGAAAUGCUCAUCUGAUGACGUAAGCGAAGGAAUAAGCCCCGGCCAAUUACGUGCCAGCAGCCGCGGUAAUACGUAUGGGGCGAGCGUUGUUCGGAAUCAUUGGGCGUAAAGGGCGUGUAGGCGGCUUGGCAAGCUUGGUGAAAGGUCACGGCUUAACCGUGAAUGUGCGCUGAGAACUGCCAGGCUGGAGUUUUGGGGGGGAAGCUGGAAUUCCUGGUGUAGGGGUGAAAUCUGUAGAUAUCAGGAAGAACACCGAUGGCGAAGGCAAGCUUCUAUCCAAAGACUGACGCUGAGGCGCGAAAGUGUGGGGAGCGAACAGGAUUAGAUACCCUAGUAGUCC